GCCCAGACUCCUACGGGAGGCAGCAGUGGGGAAUAUUGCACAAUGGGGGGAACCCUGAUGCAGCGACGCCGCGUGAGUGAAGAAGUAUUUCGGUAUGUAAAGCUCUAUCAGCAGGGACGAAGAUGACGGUACCUGCAGAAGAAGCCCCGGCUAACUACGUGCCAACAGCCGCGGUAAUACGUAGGGGGCAAGCGUUAUCCGGAUUUACUGGGUGUAAAGGGAGCGUAGACGGCAGUGCAAGUCUGGAGUGAAAGGCGGGGGCUCAACCCCCGGACUGCUCUGGAAACUGUACGGCUGGAGUGCAGGAGAGGUAAGUGGAAUUCCUAGUGUAGCGGUGAAAUGCGUAGAUAUUAGGAGGAACACCAGUGGCGAAGGCGGCUUACUGGACUGUAACUGACGUUGAGGCUCGAAAGCGUGGGGAGCAAACAGGAUUAGAUACCCGUGUAAG
rnacentral:rRNA from 1 species